UGCCGUGACUCACGGCGGUUUAAGAUCAAUACGGCAGGUAAACUGUGUUUAGGUAACCAACGGGCUGGCUAUACAAGGAAAAUAUACGGAUUUUGCUUGCGCGACACUGUCACGCAUGCCUAUAAAUAACUUUAAGAUUAAACGAUAACCACAAUAACUGUUAGGGUAUUUCUGAAAUGAUCAUGUUGCAUAGCAUGUAUAAUUGAACACGAUUACUAAAGGAUUUGACAAAAGCUGGUUUAAAUAACAAAGAUGGAAGCGUGCGAAAAUCUCUGGUACUCGGGCGUUAAAUUACGGAUUGUAUUUUCACUGGUACUACAUAUCGGAGCAUGUGUACCCUCAUCGAUUCCAGUGUUUGUAAAUCCUUGCAAUAAAGAAACGAUACUCGGCCAGGGAUCGGGAAAUUACGCCGCAGAUAUAUAUUUCUCGGGAAGAGUGCAUCCAUUUCAGCCGACUUACUGCUUCAUGAAUCUGGUGACGGAUCAUGGUUAUGUCAUAACCUACAAGUUCGAGAAUCUAAACUUAAACAACCUCUGUGCGGGAGAAAGCGAACAUUGUGAGUGCAAUAAUUCAGUAACUGUGAGUGAUGUUCACAAUGGCGUUACAAUAACGAAAGAGUUGUGUUCAGCAGAAAAUGCCGAAACGAUUGAUUACUCAAACUCAAAAUCUAUGGGUAACAACUUAGCAUUUCGUGUGAAAAUGUCACCCAACACGUCAGUUAGUUUACAAAUCAGCGUGUUCACGUCACAGUACGUGCAAAAUAAAGGUUGUGCCAACGACGAAGCGUUGUGUUCAAAUAUGUGCGUGCACCGAACCCUAGCGUGUGGACCAGAUAAAGAUAAGUAUUGUAAGAGCCCUGAUGACGUAUGCUCGGACAUCAAAUCCUCCGAGCCGAACGGUGGCCUCGUUGUCCCCUUUUUAGUCCCCUUUUUGAUUGCUUUCCUGGUCUUCACAAUCAUCUUUACUUACGGUAUUUGUCUGAGCGAAGAGAACAGCUUUCUCCGGAGGAAAUGCUGCAAGCUACAACCUCGAGCAAAUUCCAGUCGGGCCAAUGCAAUAUUCACGGUUCACUUGGCGAAUCGCGGCGUCGCCUCCAGAAGUGGAGGAAACGACAAUCGGGCCUUUGACGAAUACGGCGAUCCUAUAGACAGGGCCACCUACCAGCCACCACCUGAAUACAGUUCUUUAGAGCACAUAGACAGAGCUGGUCGGUGGCCCGAUCCCAAAGACGGCGGCGAUCUGCCUCCAAGCUAUGAGGACGCUGCCCAAAAUAGACAGAAGUAUAAGAUCACUAUAAAAGAAGGACGUAUAUGGCAUACGGCAAGCGUAGCUAUGAGGACGCUGUCCAAAAUAGACAGCAGACAGAAUAAGAUAACUAUAAACGAAGACGUUAAUGCAUGACACUUAUAUUAGAUUAAACUAGUGUUAUUAUCCAUAUUUUGGGAAUUAAAUCGCCGCCAUAAAUCAAAACAUCGCAGUAAGCAAGGUUGACACUAGAAUAGGAAUAAUCCACUUAGAGGAAUCCUGUUUGGGUGUCUGUAAACUAUACAGACAAAUUGUGCAUGUCGUGGUGACAACCUAACAGCGGUGUUCAAUAAAUACGUGCGUAACGACGAAGUGCGCCCUUGUAUGUUCGUCUAUUGGUGUUAACCCAAAUGCGGUGUUGAAUGUCUACGUUUCUUGCACGCUUUUAUGUCCAUCAGGUCAUGACCGAAUCGUUUAUUUCGUUGUUCUUUUUAAAUGAGGAAACGUUUCCAGGUCAUACUUUACCAUACCUGUCCCGAUCCGAUGUGUAGACACGUUGUUGUCAACCAAACUUCGGCUGAGGACGCCACAGUGCGUUACAUUUUUGGUGUAAGCCACCGAUAUUAAGUGCUUUCAAAAUUGCCAUAGUCUCAAAUAGGAUUGGACCUACCCGGUUUUCUGAUAACUGAAAGAGGUCUGUCCAUAGUUUAAAACACAGACGGUUACGAGUCGUGUUUAGAUUGAGCGAAGAGCAGUUUGAUUUCAUACGGUGAACGUGUUAAUUUUGUGAUAUUGUUUUUGUUUUUGAAAACAUUUACCGUUUAAGUUGCUUUUUUCUAUCAUAUGAACCGCGUCAUGCGAAAAUGGGUCUAAUUCCAUAUACGGCAAACGUAGGUACAGCCAGUGCAACGUAGGUCCAGCCAGUGCAGUGUGGUCAGGAGCUGCUCUAUUUCCUAAUGAGACCACGAAAUCAUGCGCGGUUUUAAAGCGGACGGCGUAGCGUUUGACCAAGCUCACUACUGCACAGGCAAGUUUGGAGUUACGCUGGUCGCAUAUGACAUAAGACCCAUUUUCGCAAGACGCGACACAUAUGAUAAUUCAGUUAUUUAUUUUGAUAAACGAUUUUAAGUUAUUAAGCAUCUCAUUCUAUAUAAUCUUUUUGUUUGUGAGUGAUUUUUGUUUUCCGUCUUAAACACCUCACAUCUUGAUUAUAACGUUGUUACAUUUAAACUAUUGUGCGUUUUAUUCAUCAGUGUACUAGUCAUAUAAAGAAUAACAGGUAACUGUCCCAUCGUUUUGUAAUAUAUCAGGUGAAGCUUAGAAUAAUAUAACGGCGAGGCUUGUCGAGUUGUUAAAUAAACUCUGUCAUUCGAAUAGAUUGCAUACAUUCCGCAGUGUGUUACUAAUUCAACAAUACAACCCAAAUUUAAUUUAGAAAAUGUGUGAAUACUUACAUAUCAAAGAUCGUAAAAAGGUUUUUUUACUUAAUAUAUGUGUGUCAAUUUAUUUAAAUACAUUGUGAUUACACUUUUUGAAUGCAUUUAAUUUAAGAUCAGAUAAGGAAACAAUCACCCAUGUUUAUACUAUUUUAUUCACUUAAUUAGCCGCCGUUUUUAAUGGUUUUUAAUGGUGCUUUAUACAAUAUUACAACAAUUUAAUGAUUUCUAAUUAUGUCACAUGCAUUAUACUUAGUGUUACUUAAAGUAAAUAUUAUAAAGUUCAUGUUACGUAUACAAUCACAAUCACGCAAAAUGUACUGUUUAUCGUAUAUUUUAUUCGUAUCAGUUCCCCUUGCUAUGUGUAUAUACAAUGAAUUAUGAAUUUGAAUUAUUUUAUUUUUAGAGGGGCAUGUUCUCGUUGGCAAAUUGACAAUUUAAAAAAAAAGUCUUAUAGAUUCAAAAAAAGAUGCAUGCAUAAUAUCUAAACAAACAAACUAACACUCCUGAUUUAGGUAAAAGUUAAAUAUAUCAUUUAUUCAUUAUCAUCAUAUCAAGUCAGAAAAAUAAUUGUGUUAGUAACGCCUUGAAUUGAAAAUUUUGCAAAUACUUGUUUUACUAACAUAAUAGAUGCUGAAUUUGUGAAAUAAAAGCCCAUGUUUGCCGAUAAACGCAUACUUUUCGAAAGUUUCACGUUUAAAAUGUCAAUUGAUAAACGGUUUGCAGUCAUUAAAAGGAACGAGUGGUUUACUGUCUAUUAACCCAUUUAUGCCUAGCGUCUAUAAAAAAAAAGGCCUUGGCAAACAGCGUAGACCCAGAUGCGGCGUCUCAUCGGGGUCUGCGCUGUUUGCUUAAAGGAAUUUUUUAAAGAAAUAUUCUAAAUAUAGAAAUAAAAAACUAGACAUGCAUAAUUUUGGAAAUAAACUGAUUCAAUUAAAAUGGAUGAGAGAGUCCACCAGGCAUAAAUGGGUUAAUCAGGCCUGUGAUAACGUCGGUUUUUUACAUUUUGCGUCUCGAGUUCGGGGACCACACGACAGGCCCUUUCUCUUAAUAUUGUAAUGCUUUAAGACUAUUCCAAGUAUUAUAGUUUUCUUAGUAAACUCAUUUAAUUACAUUUAAAAUAAACGUAACUCUGUUGAACAAGUCCCUUUAAAGUAAUAACAUUGUGUCGUGUGAUGUAUUAAAGGGAUCUUUUCACGCUUUGGUAAAUUGACAAAAUUGAAAAAAGUUGUUUCAGAUUCGUAAGUUUUCGUUUUAGUUAUGAUAUUUGUGAGGAAACAGUAAUACUGAACAUUAACCAUGCUCUAAUAUAGCCAUUAUAUGCAUCUUUUGACGAUUUUAAAACCUAAAAAUUAUAAAGCGUUGCAACGCGAAACGAUUGAAUAAUUUGGAGAGUUCUGUUUUUGUCGUUAAAUUUUGUGAAACUACGAAGAUUGCUUAUAUAAGGUAUAAAAUACGUCACGGAUGUGUACUAGGCGGAAUAGCUCAGUAGGCUAAAGCAUUUUUACUUCAGGACUCUGGCAGGACUCCAGGGGUCACUGGUUCGAAACCUGCUCCGGGCAAUGUUCUUUUCCUUUUUUUAUUUUUUUUCUUGAUUUUUUACUGGAGCUUUUACGAUCCAAUGUUUACAUUUAUCAAUAUAAAGCAUUUAAUGAAUAAGUUAAAAAAAAAUGCCAAAAUCUGUGAAAAGGCCCCUUUAAAGGGACUGUCAACCACGACGACGUUGAAAAAGAAAAGUUCUAAAAUACUGUAUUUGUUACAACUAUUAGUUUAUAUUGAUUAAAAAAUAACGACUGGUAUAUUACAUUACUUGAAAAACGUUAAUAUUUUCAGUAUAUUUGGUAAUAAAAUUUCGCGAUGUGAAAUCGAAAGUACAUCGCGAAAAGAGGUGACAUAACGAUAUACACACUAUAAAUAACGCCAGUAGAUUGAUCAUUUUCUAUAUUAGAUAUAUAAAAUCUACUACGCGUGCACAAUUUGCAUUCCUGGGUUUACCACGUGACGAUAAUGAUCAAUCUACUGGCGUUAUUUAUAUGUAACUGAUAGUUACCUGGUAAACAUACCCAGUAAAAUGUAUUACCAAAUAUUCUGAAAAUAUGAAAACUUAACAAUUUUUUUUCAAGUAUUGUAAUAUAUCAGUCGUGAUAUUUUAAUCAAUAUAAACUAAUACUUGUACAAGUAUACGGUAUUUUACAACUUUUUUUUCUACGUCGUCGUGGUUGACAUGGUAAAAAUGUGUCUCAUCUAAAUCCAGUCAGGUCAGUAUAUUUAUUUAUUAAACCCAUUUUUCGAGCCCUUUUAAACAUAACUAUGGUUUGUUUAUUUAUAUUGUUUAAAUAAACACGUUCUUUAAU